rnacentral:snRNA from 1 species
GGAUGUGAGGGCGAUCUGGCUGCGACAUCUGUCACCCCAUUGAUCGCCAGGGUUGAUUCGGCUGAUCUGGCUGGCUAGGCGGGUGUCCCCUUCCUCCCUUACCGCUCCAUGUGCGUCCCUCCCAAAGCUGUGUGCUCAGUGGAAGAGGACGACAUCCCAGGUAUAGAAGGAGUGUACCGAGGUCUCCAGUCUUUGGUCCCGGGUAUACGAUAGCUGCGCUCCAUUGCUAGAACCUCCAAACAAGCUCAAGGACAAUGCCUCAAGCCAGAUCCCAAGUUCAAAGCCCUAAAAAGUAGUUCCAGAGUCCUUCUCUUU